GAUCCUGGCUCAGGACGAACGCUGGCGGCGUGCCUAAUACAUGCAAGUCGAGCGAACUUGCGGGAGCUUGCUCCCAAAAGUUAGCGGCGGACGGGUGAGUAACACGUGGGCAACCUGCCUGUAAGACUGGGAUAACUUCGGGAAACCGGAGCUAAUACCGGAUAACCCUUUUCCUCACAUGUGGAAAAGUUGAAAGAUGGCUUCGGCUAUCACUUACAGAUGGGCCCGCGGCGCAUUAGCUAGUUGGUGAGGUAACGGCUCACCAAGGCGACGAUGCGUAGCCGACCUGAGAGGGUGAUCGGCCACACUGGGACUGAGACACGGCCCAGACUCCUACGGGAGGCAGCAGUAGGGAAUCUUCCGCAAUGGACGAAAGUCUGACGGAGCAACGCCGCGUGAGUGAUGAAGGUUUUCGGAUCGUAAAACUCUGUUGUUAGGGAAGAACAAGUACCGUUCGAAUAGGGCGGUACCUUGACGGUACCUAACCAGAAAGCCACGGCUAACUACGUGCCAGCAGCCGCGGUAAUACGUAGGUGGCAAGCGUUGUCCGGAAUUAUUGGGCGUAAAGCGCGCGCAGGCGGUCUUUUAAGUCUGAUGUGAAAGCCCCCGGCUCAACCGGGGAGGGUCAUUGGAAACUGGGAGACUUGAGUGCAGAAGAGGAGAGUGGAAUUCCACGUGUAGCGGUGAAAUGCGUAGAGAUGUGGAGGAACACCAGUGGCGAAGGCGACUCUCUGGUCUGUAACUGACGCUGAGGCGCGAAAGCGUGGGGAGCGAACAGGAUUAGAUACCCUGGUAGUCCACGCCGUAAACGAUGAGUGCUAAGUGUUAGAGGGUUUCCGCCCUUUAGUGCUGCAGCAAACGCAUUAAGCACUCCGCCUGGGGAGUACGGCCGCAAGGCUGAAACUCAAAGGAAUUGACGGGGGCCCGCACAAGCGGUGGAGCAUGUGGUUUAAUUCGAAGCAACGCGAAGAACCUUACCAGGUCUUGACAUCCUCUGACAAUCCUAGAGAUAGGACGUUCCCCUUUUAGGGGACAGAGUGACAGGUGGUGCAUGGUUGUCGUCAGCUCGUGUCGUGAGAUGUUGGAUAA
rnacentral:rRNA from 1 species